rnacentral:snRNA from 1 species
AGCUUUGCGCAGUGGCGGUAUCAUACCCAAUGAGGUUUAUCCAAGGCUCGAUUAUUGCUAAUUGAAAACUUUUCCCAAUACCCUGCUGUGACGACUUGAAAUAUAGUCAGCACUGACGAUUUUUGACAGUCUCGACGGAGA